rnacentral:rRNA from 1 species
UACAGAGGUGGCAAGCGUUGUUCGGAAUUACUGGGCGUAAAGGGCGCGUAGGCGGUCUUGCAAGUCCCGUGUGAAAUCCCUCGGCUCAACUGAGGAAUGGCACGGGAAACUGCUUGGCUUGAGUUCGGGAGAGGGAAGCGGAAUUCCGGGUGUAGCGGUGAAAUGCGUAGAUAUCCGGAGGAACACCGGUGGCGAAGGCGGCUCCUGGACCGACACUGACGCUGAGGCGCGAAAGCUAGGGGAGCAAACGGG